CCCAGGAGCCCUCCGGCUUCCGGGUCGUGGCCAUCGAGCACCUCCAGCUCCACGGCGAAGGGCGUCUGUACGUCCCGCUUCACCAGCCGCAGCAAGGGCUUCUCGGGCUCUAAAGCCCAGAGGAGCCCCAUGGGCUCGAGGCCCGUGAAGCUGCCGCCCAGCGCGGGCGCGCGCUCGAGGUCCAGCUGGCCGUGGGCGUCGGCGCAGUAGCGCGCGUGGGCUCGGAAGAGCGCGUCCUUCUCGUCGCGCAGGGACGCGCGCAGCGUGACCGGCUGCCCCGGGGCCAGUCCGCGCACGGCGAUGCGCACGGACUCGUCCCAGCGGCAGCGGCCCGCAGGCUCCAGCGUCACCGUCGCCGCCAUCUGGAUCCCAGCAGAGAAGGGGCGGCCCGGCGGAGUCAACGGUAGGGCCUGGCGUCUCUCCACCUCCCUGGGAGGCAGUCGCAAUUGGAACGUUUGCUUUACUCCCGUUGGGCGGCCGAAGGGACACUUGCUAAACCGCUUUGUGAAGUCUGGAGUUUGUGCAGUCCACUACUGCCUGCCUGGAAGAGUAUCUGCUAAAAUAAGCGUUUUAUGGUAAUUAUUAAUCCUGCGGUCCAAUAUGGAGAGUGUCGAAAUAGAAGUGCAAAGAUUGCUGACAGCUAAAGGAUUGGGAAAGAUACCGGGCAGUUCCAAGAAGUUUGAGUAUUGUUGACUUAAAAAAAAUGCACAGCGUGAAGAGUUGUUUCAACUCAGAGGGUGGAACCAAGAGCUACAGAGAACAACUCACAGAGAGUAAACUGAGCACCAAUGGAAGAAUUGGCAACAUGUUCUCAGCUGGAUUUCAGAAUGGCUAGGGGCCAGUAAGGACACAGGAAGAAGGCAGCCGUCUGUAAGCCAGGAAGAGGCGCCACCAGGAACUGAAUCUGCCAGAACGUUGAUCUUGGACUUCCCAGCCUCCAGAACUGUGAGAAAUAAAUGUCUGUUGUUUAAGCCACCCCAUCUAUGGUAUUUUGUUACAGAAGCCUGAGCUGACUAAGACAUAGUGCUGUUGGAAUAUGUGGCUGAUGUCUUUGUCAGCUUUAGAAAAUUCUCAGCCAUUAUCUCUUCAAAUACACUUACACAACACUUUGUAGCCUUGAUGUCAGAGAAAGUGAUGAUGAUGCCUCUAAGAAUGUCACAGUAU